rnacentral:rRNA from 1 species
CCUACGGGAGACAGCAGUGAGGAAUAUUGGUCAAUGGGCGGGAGCCUGAACCAGCCAAGCCGCGUGAGGGCAGAAGGUACAGCGUAUCGUAAACCUCUUUUGUCAGGGAACAAAGGCGGGGACUAGUCCCCGGCUGAGGGUACCUGAAGAAAAAGCAUCGGCUAACUCCGUGCCAGCAGCCGCGGUAAUACGGAGGAUGCGGGCGUUAUCCGGCUUUAUUGGGUUUAACGGGUGCGCAGGCGGCCUGUUCAGUCAGCGGUAAAAGCCCGGGGCUCAACCCCGGCGAGCCGUUGAAACUGGCGGGCUGGAGUUGGAGAGAAGUACGCGGAAUGCGCGGGGUAGCGGUGAAAUGCUUAGAUAUCGCGCAGAACCCCGAUUGCGAAGGCAGCGUACCGGCUCCACACUGACGCUGAGGCACGAAAGCGUGGGUAUCGAACAGGAUUAGAUACCCGGGUAGUC